UGGGGAAUAUUGGACAAUGGGCGCAAGCCUGAUCCAGCCAUGCAGCGUGUGUGAAGAAGGCCUUUUGGUUGUAAAGCACUUUAAGCGAGGAGGAGGCUACUUGGAUUAAUACUCUAGGAUAGUGGACGUUACUCGCAGAAUAAGCACCGGCUAACUCUGUGCCAGCAGCCGCGGUAAUACAGAGGGUGCGAGCGUUAAUCGGAUUUACUGGGCGUAAAGCGUGCGUAGGCGGCUUCUUAAGUCGGAUGUGAAAUCCCUGAGCUUAACUUAGGAAUUGCAUUCGAUACAGGGAAGCUAGAGUAUGGGAGAGGAUGGUAGAAUUCCAGGUGUAGCGGUGAAAUGCGUAGAGAUCUGGAGGAAUACCGAUGGCGAAGGCAGCCAUCUGGCCUAAUACUGACGCUGAGGUACGAAAGCAUGGGGAGCAAACAGG
rnacentral:rRNA from 1 species